CUUCUUGCGCAAAGUUGCUCUUCAUGGCUCUUAAUUUGGGGUGCUUGGCACUUGGUGUCUAGUAGCUUAACACAUUGGGGUUCCUUCCUACACAUGCAUCCGAUUGGGUUUCAUCCUUACCCCCUGCUCAGGUUAAGAGCAAGCUUAAAGGUCACUCUAAAAGGAUAACUGGCCUAGCAUUCUCUCAUGUAUUAAAUGUGCUAGUUUCAUCAAGAGCAGAUGCUCAGGUACACCUAAUCAGAUCUUGUUCUUAUGUAGUUUUGCAACUGUGAUAGUAGUCCAAAAUCUAAUUAGACGCCCAGAUAUCUUUCCUGCUUAUGUAUAACCGAGGAAAGAUAAUAUAUCUAACAGGCAUA